AUGGCGCCGCACCCUGUUUGGAAAAAUUUGUGGAAUUUGAAGGUGCCCGCAAAAGUAAAAAUUCACAUCUGGAGAUGCCUACACAACACAAUACCAUGCCGGAGUGUGCUAAUGAACCAUCACCUGGGGAACUUAUCAUGUUGUCCAUUUUGUACAGAAGGAGCAGAGGACCUAGCGCAUAUGUUGUUUAGAUGUGCUAGAUCACAAGAAGUGUGGAGAACCCUGGGAGUCGCGGAUGAUAUAAACUUCGCUUGUCACACGGACCGAGCGGGCUCGGCAGCUUUAGAGUUCAUUCUCUAUGAUAUUUCCUGCCGGAGACAAUAUAAUGGAGUGCUUGAGUUACCGGAGCUGAUAACCACAGCGUGUUGGUAUAUAUGGUGGUAACGGAGACAGUUUGUGCGAGGUGAUGAUAUUGCAUCUCCAGAGCGAACGGCCCCAGCGGUGGUAGCUCUAGCACUUAACUAUGCCCACGGAGUACAAACAAGAAUGACACCAAAAGGGAAUACAUGGCCGGCGUUUUUGGUUGGUCAGACAGUCCUUAAUGUCGAUGCGUCGUUCAUUGAAGGAGAUUAUGCAGGAUCUUGUGGAGCGGUUAUCCGUGAUCACCGUGGAACUUUCAUGUCUACAGCCACAGCAACACUAGAACAUGUAGCUGAUGUCGAUACAGCAGAAGUUGCGGCUAUGCUUGAAGGACUGAAGCUAGCAAGGGAAACAUGA
rnacentral:rRNA from 1 species